rnacentral:rRNA from 1 species
GAUGAACGCUAGCGACAGGCCUAACACAUGCAAGUCGAGGGGCAGCACAAGGUAGCAAUACUGAGGUGGCGACCGGCGCACGGGUGAGUAACGCGUAUGCAACCUGCCUGUAACAGGGGAAUAGCCUCUUGAAAGAGAGAUUAAUGCCGCAUAAUACGAGAUUCGGGCAUCCGGAUUUAGUUAAACAUUUAUGGGUUACAGAUGGGCAUGCGUUUCAUUAGGUAGUUGGUGAGGUAACGGCUCACCAAGCCGACGAUGAAUAGGGGUUCUGAGAGGAAGGUCCCCCACACUGGUACUGAGACACGGACCGGACUCCUACGGGAGGCAGCAGUGAGGAAUAUUGGUCAAUGGACGCAAGUCUGAACCAGCCAAGUCGCGUGAAGGAUGAAGGUAUUAUGUAUUGUAAACUUCUUUUGUCAGGGAAUAAUGACCGCUACGUGUAGCGGANAGGAAUGUACCUGACGAAUAAGCAUCGGCUAACUCCGUGCCAGCAGCCGCGGUAAUACGGAGGAUGCGAGCGUUAUCCGGAUUUAUUGGGUUUAAAGGGUGCGUAGGCGGUUUGUUNNGUCAGUGGUGAAAGUUUGCNGCUCANCCGUAAAAUUGCCAUUGAAACUGGCGAACUUGAGUACAGUAGAGGUAGGCGGAAUUC